rnacentral:tRNA from 1 species
AGUAGUCAAGCAAAUAUAUGCAUAUUAACUGUUAAUUAAUAAAUAGGAUAUAUAAUAAUAUCCGUCUACUA